CAACCUCAACUCAUAUGGGACUACCCCCUGAAUUUAAGCAUAUUAAUUAGGGGAGGAAAAGAAACUAACAAGGAUUUUCUUAGUAGCGGCGAGCGAAAAGAAAUCAGUUCAGCACUAAGUCACUUUGUCUAUAUGGCAAAUGUGAGAUGCAGUGUACGGAACAUCAACAUUCUAGUAUGAGAAGUUAACGAUUUAAGUCCUUCUUAAAUGAGGCCAUUUACCCAUAGAGGGUGCCAGGCCCGUAUAACGUUAAUGAUUACUAGAUGGUGUUUCCAAAGAGUCGUGUUGCUUGAUAGUGCAGCACUAAGUGGGUGGUAAACUCCAUCUAAAACUAAAUAUAACCAUGAGACCGAUAGUAAACAAGUACCGUGAGGGAAAGUUGAAAAGAACUCUGAAUAGAGAGUUAAAUAG
rnacentral:ncRNA from 1 species